GCCUCCCGCGCACGUCGGGGCGCGCCGAGGCGCCUCCCCCCGCGGAUCCCUCCGCCGCCGGCAGCUGCACUGGCUGGGGGGGCGAAGGAGAGGAGAGGAGAGAGGAGGGGCGGGGCUUCCCCCUCCCUCCAGUGCCCCGUGGGGACGGGCUGGCCUCUGCCACUGCCUUCCCGCGCAGCCCUGGUCACGUCCCCCGCUCCCUGCACCAGGAGGGGAGGAGCCGCCCCCCUUGCAGAGGAGGGGAAGAGGGCAGCAGGAAGGGGCUGGCAGCGGGGGGACUAUGUUUCCUGGCGGAAGAGGACGCGAGGAGGGACGGAGCGGUGUGACGACACGGGAGCACCGGGAGAUGGAAUGAUAAGGCCGCGGGGCCUCGGCCAACAGGAGGGCCCCGCGGCCGCGAGUGGCAGGCGGGGCGGCCAACCAGCGCCGGCCCCCGCCCACCCCCGCGCUGCCGAGGCGGAGGCGGCUGCUGGGCUUUGCUUGGCGUCUCCCGCCCGCACCUUCCCGGGCCGCGCCGCCGGCGCGGAGCUCCCGCAGCUGCCGGCAGCACCUGUCGGGCCUGGCCGGCCCCUCCAGGCUGGUCCCCGCGGGGGGAGGCUCUGCUCCCUCCACGCUUUGGAGCAGUGUUUGCCCCCACGGAGCCUCUGCAGCCGCCGCAGGGCCCGCGUGCCUGGUGGUGCGCGGGGCUGAAUCCAUCCCCGCAGAUCUGCUGCAACCCUGGCUCUCCCUCUGCCCCCUUAAUUUCCGGGUCUCCUUCUGCCGCCCUUUGUCAGCACUGAAAAAGCUGCACUUUGUAUCCCAGAGGUGGAUGCUGAAAGUCGGCCCACACGUGCAGUUUGCCACCUGCUGUAGCCAGGGUGCCCGAAGGAAGGGGCUGAAAGCUGCUGGCGGAUUCUUUUUGAGAUGCAACGGGGUGUAUUGCAAGCAUGAGAUCAAUGGUGCUGGUUGGGCGAAAGUGAAGUCACCUCAUCUCUGUAUAGUGACAUUUCUUCCUGCACGUGUAGGCUGUAAAAGUGCCUGGUACUGUGGGCCAAAGUUAAAUGCGUUCAACGCCGGCGGGCACAAAAACGAAGACUGCAGUUUACGUGCGACUGUUGUGGGUUCGGGAAGUGAGUUUAUCUAAUCUAAUAAAGUUUAUGCCAGUGUCCGAUGGAAGAGAAGAGCUGGUGCUGGAUUCCUGCGCUCGGGUGGAACGGACUCUGGACGCAGCCCUCUAAACCGUUCUGAACGGGAAGGGAUGGGUGGGCACCGCUCCUAACUGCUGCUGACCAGCCCGCUUAGCACGCUCACUAGCAACAGAGCUAUCUCCAACCACAUUUGCAGCGCUCCAGACUGCUGCCCUGCCUUCCCCAGUAUCCUGUAGGUACCAUGUUCAAAUCCAACAGUUUCCACAGAUGCUUUCAUUUUCACUUUGUCUGAUCUCAGUUGGCAGUUGCUCCUGUUUUGUGGCUGGCUGUUCCCUGAACUUGAAGGAAACUGUAUUUUCUUCAAAGGCAGAAGGGCUUGCAUGCAUUCAAACACGACCUGAAUAAUCCUCUAUACCUUGCACACCUAGCGUUCCCAAGCGGGGAAAAAUAAGAAUAUAAGGGUUGUUUCCCGCCCCCCCAUUUAACAGCAGUGGAGGAGGGAGGGGGAGAUUCCCCUUCAUCGCAGCCAUCCUCCACCAGCCUAGCUGUCCUGAACUGCCACAACCCUGAUUAGUGUGCGCCU